rnacentral:rRNA from 1 species
CGAAAGGUGCUUGCACCUUUCAGUGAGUGGCGAACGGGUGAGUAACACGUGGACAACCUGCCUCAAGGCUGGGGAUAACAUUUGGAAACAGAUGCUAAUACCGAAUAAAACUCAGUGUCGCAUGACACAAAGUUAAAAGGCGCUUUGGCGUCACCUAGAGAUGGAUCCGCGGUGCAUUAGUUAGUUGGUGGGGUAAAGGCCUACCAAGACAAUGAUGCAUAGCCGAGUUGAGAGACUGAUCGGCCACAUUGGGACUGAGACACGGCCCAAACUCCUACGGGAGGCUGCAGUAGGGAAUCUUCCACAAUGGGCGAAAGCCUGAUGGAGCAACGCCGCGUGUGUGAUGAAGGCUUUCGGGUCGUAAAGCACUGUUGUAUGGGAAGAACAGCUAGAAUAGGGAAUGAUUUUAGUUUGACGGUACCAUACCAGAAAGGGACGGCUAAAUACGUGCCAGCAGCCGCGGUAAUACGUAUGUCCCGAGCGUUAUCCGGAUUUAUUGGGCGUAAAGCGAGCGCAGACGGUUGAUUAAGUCUGAUGUGAGAACCCGGAGCUCAACUCCGGAAUGGCAUUGGAAACUGGUUAACUUGAGUGCAGUAGAGGUAAGUGGAACUCCAUGUGUACCGGUGGAAUGCGUAGAUAUAU